CCUACGGGAUGCAGCAGUGAGGAAUAUUGGUCAAUGGGCUUACGCCUGAACCAGCCAAGUCGCGUGAGGGAAGACUGCCCUAUGGGUUGUAAACCUCUUUUGUCAGGGAGCAACGCCGGCGACGUGUAGCCGGACUGAGAGUACCUGAAGAAAACGCAUCGGCCAACUCCGCGCCAGCAGCCGCGGUAAUACGGAGGAGGCGGGCGUUAUCCGGAGUUAUUGGGUUUAAAGUGUGCGUAGGCGGAAUGCCAAGUCAGCGGUAAAAUCGCGGGGCUCAACCUCGAUCCGCCGUUGAAACUGGCGUUCUUGAGUGGGCGAGAAGUAUGCGGAAUGCGUGGUGGAGCGGUGAAAUGCAUAGAUAUCACGCAGAACUCCGGUUGCGGAGGCAGCAUACCGGCGCCCAACUGACGCUGAAGCACGAAAGCGUGGGUAUCGAACAGGAUUAGAUACCCGGGUAGUC
rnacentral:rRNA from 1 species